UACAGAGGUCCCAAGCGUUGUUCGGAUUCACUGGGCGUAAAGGGUGCGUAGGUGGCAUGUUAAGUUUGAUGUGAAAGCUCAGGGCUCAACCCUGAAAUGGCAUUGAAUACUAGCGUGCUGGAGGUUUGGAGGGGGGGACUGGAAUUCUUGGUGUAGCAGUGAAAAUGCGUAGAUAUCAAGAGGAACACCAGUGGCGAAGGCGAGUCCCUGGACGAUACCUGACACUGAGGCACGAAAGCUAGGGGAGCAAACAGG
rnacentral:rRNA from 1 species